UCAGCAUCCGGUCAGCUUUGGUGCAUAGUAAGUUUCACCCCGUCUACAGUGUCCUACACCACUCUGUAUAACCCGGAUUCAACCGUGUCAUCUAAGUUUGUUUGUGUGGCGGCCCAAUCGUCCGGAAGCUCAACCCAGCUGAGUAUGAUCCCCGGGGAGUGUACGGGCACCCAGACACCCAGCGUCUCUCCCUCCGACACCACCGGGGCCACUAUGGAACUGAAACCAUACUUUUCGUGUAAGACUACACCAUCAACACCGUUGUUCACGGGUUGUAGAAGCAUAUUGCAAC